AUCUUUUUACCCGUAGCUCCGAAUCAGGUGAUUCCAAAGCCCACGGCUUCUUUUCGUCGAGCCCUUUCCGUUGAUAUCAUUUUCAUAAUAUUUUCACCAGUGAAAAUGACCAUUUUGCCCUUGCCCGUAAACAGCCCCCUCCGAGAGAGAACUGUUUCCGGCAAAUCUUUUUGCGAUCGUUUCACACUUCUUCCCGGAGUAUUUGUCGACCCCCAGGCAAGCCAACCUUUUAUCAUGAGCCCUGAACUUGCAUGUUGACUUUGCUUGCACCUUGUGUGUGUGUGUAGUUGCAGUUGUUUGCUAUCGUUUUCAUCGGCAGUUAUUUCUUUAUACCUACCUUGCAUGCUUGUGUUUCAUGAUACCUUUGCCAUGUUAAUUAGAAUGUUAUUAUUAAUAAUGCCAUGCCACUACUCUACUUUAUUUGCAUGUCAUCGUUAUAAACUGUUAUGAGGAUUGUAAUGCACCGUUGAUAUACUAUUGUCGUGUCCUUUAUGUUAUAGUUGUGCACUUGAGGAGUUCAAUAUUUUGUUUGUGCAUUUGUAUGCGGCAUGUUGCACUCAUGUUAAAUAUGUACAUGAUGAUGGAGAAGGAAAUAAAAUGACUUAAUAAUAACAAACCUCCUUCGUCAUUGAUGGGAUCGAGUCAUAGUGCCGCCAAACCGAACUUUUUCAGUGCAGCCACAUUUGCCUUCUGGGAGGCCUUAAUGCGAGCUAUUGUCGUGACCUCUUGCCGGUGCCUCCCACUAGGGAAGGUUAUGGGCGUGCUUAUCCUGAUCAGGUAAGAGGACAUAACCUUGUGUGCUCGUUUUUGAGAUUUUUGGUACCAGUCCCCGAGUGGGAGUGUCCCCGAGUGGGAGUUGACCACGACGGUGGUUGGGGUGUCUUUGGUAGACACGGGGCCACCCAGGACCAGCCCGUUGGGGAUUGGGUCGGAGUGGCCGGGAGAGCUUCAUGGCAGUAGGUUGGUUUCGUCGGAAUGCCGUUGGUCCACCCGAAUGGGAUGACGAGGCCAUGGGUUUCGUGGUGUGGGUACAGUGUGCUACCUCUGUAGAGUGUAUCAAGUCUAUUGAUAGCAACACAGUUCGUAGUAGGUCCCACUAUCAGGUCUUGGUCGAAAUGGAGGAUAAACCUGAAAUAAUUAAAUUGGUAAAUAAAUAUGUGAUAACAAAAAUAUGGUGACUUGAACUAUGAGAUAGUCGUGAGGAGUCACGACGAUAUUUUGAUGAUGAGAUAAGUGGUUGUGAUCGCCGUAAGGAUCACGGGCCAAAUAUUGGUCGUGGUUGUGAUCGCCACGGUUGGAGACCAAGUGUUGGUCGUUGUUGUGAUCGCCGUAAGGAUCACAAGUUGUUCUUGAGAAAGACCACUUUGGUGGUGUGUUUGUGAUCCAGAGAUGAUCAUAGUUGAUAAGAGAGUCCGAGGGACUCGGUGCACAAGUUUGGUUGCAUUGCUGGAAUAAUAUAUCAUUAUUUGCAUUUAAAGAACCAUGAUAGAACAAAAGAUGAUUGCAUAAUGUUAAAAUGCUAUGUCUGCAUUGGAUAUUAUUGGUAGUUUAUUUUCAGCAUAGUUUCUUGAUGCCAUGCUAUGCUUUGAUUGACAUGUUAAGUUAUGCCAUGAUUGAGAUAAAAUUCUAUGUUUUGCUAUUACAUUGUUGUAAUUAUGUUCUGAUAUGCCAUGUCAUUGCCAUGUUAGUAGAUGUUAUGAUUUUGUUCAUGCUUAGUUGAUUUUUAUCAUGCCAUGUUUAGUAAUUGAUAUGAGAUAGGGUGUUGCAUGCGCUCGGUUCUUGCUUUGUCUGCAGCUUGUUUGGAUGCUAUGUAUUUGGUUGUCUUGCAAGUACAUGCAAUGUACUGACCUGGCGUGUCAAGCCAAUUUUGUAGGUCGUACCCAUAUUGCUCGCUUGAUCCGUCGUGCUAGGCCGUAAUCUUGCCAGUCCUGUGAGUUGUGGAGCCCAGCCAGAGUUGAUGAGCCGCUAAACCAAGAUUUCCGCCGCCUUUUUAAUAGACUUCCGCUGCCAUUCAAAUAGCCGUAGGGCUAUGCCAGAUGGUUGUAUUCAUCAAGGAUGUAAUCUCAUAUACAUGUAUUUGAUGAAUAUUAUUGUACCUGGAAUGCUGUAUUAUGGACCUGUCGUGCGUCAGGUGUUAUCCUUGGCUGACGUGCGAAGGCCCCCUGCUCCAUGCGGAUCGGGGUGCCACAGGGCACGGUAUCAGAGCAGCCAGGCUGGCAUAGGUUAUCCUAGUAUUAGAUCACCGCUCCCAUUAACCCGUAAUGGCCCUAAGGGAUUUGACCCAUCCCUGGCAUCCGGCAUGGCCACUGUUAAUCAACAGGUGGCGCAGUCGGGACCGACACGUCCUCACCCCGCUGUCCCCGCCUAGUUAUCCGUGGAACGAAUAGCAACCAUAUCCUUUCUGGUCGGCCACACCGCUUGCCCUUCGCCAUCAAGGGAAAGGGGCCACACCAUGCGGGCAUGUCCCGCAUAGCCGCCUAUAAAAGCCUCCUUUCCGCUCGCCGUAUCGCUCACCCCUCAGUCAGCCAUGUCCCUGCAGAGAAGCCUAGCUAGUAGCACUCCAGCCAUGACUGGCACCUUCAAAGCUCCCAAGUUUCACAGCCGCACCGGUGCCGUCAACCACACUGGCUUUCCACCCCUUCUUGUUGAGAUGCUCACCAAAGCCUUUGGCUGUAAGGCUAGCCCCGAUUACUUGGUGUUCCAAUCAUCACCCGUCCCUCACCUUCAUCACUUUGAUGCAAGAGUGUGCAUCAGCCUAGCAGUGGAUGGCCAGCCGUUGGUUUUUCAGGGUAGAGCUAUGCCUACCUCUGAUUUAGCCAUUCAGGCCGCUGCUGUGGAGGCUAUGCUUCACCUCCGAACCAGAUACCCGCAUAUGGCAGCAAGGCGUGAUUUCUGCUUCUACCCCAUUGUGACAGAGGUAGGAAUGCAGCCUUCUCCCGCUAGCCAAGGAGAUGACCCCGCAAUCACUCGCCUGGUGCAGUAUAUUACCGCCCAGGGGAUGAUGAUUUCCCAGAUGCUUGCCGAGUUUUGAACUCUGGACAACGAUGCGGUGCGAGUCGUCAAGGAAGCUUACCGUGAGGCUCGUAAAUUCGCGUCUCAAGUCAUUUGCCCAACGCCAUCCGAACCAGUGCUAUCCUCUCAGCCUGUGUUGUGGCCUAGACCCAACAUCGUUACCCUCGACAAGGCUCUUUUAUGGAUCCACUAGCAGCAUUUGCUUGGAUCAAUUUCAGCCACACCCCCAGCAGCCGAACCUCAACCCAUAGUGCUGUCGGACGAUGAAGAUGGAGAUUGGCUCAGCCUUCGUCCUCCUGGAGAGCCCCAGCAAGACAAGUCCUCUCCAUGACCUCAGUCAAGCAGUAAGAUGAUCAGUCUGUCGGUUCAUCCUCGAUAUGAGGGUAGAACUAUGUAUCCCUAGAUGAGUUGCUUCGUUUAGCGCGUAGCGCGUUCGUGUUCUAUUGUCUGCUGGUACUGUUGUAGUCCGUAUACUGUGUUCUAUGUAUGUUUUUGUGCUUUUGUUUUUGUGUUGUUUUUGCUUGUCUCUCUGUCAAGCAGAAAUGUUUGACAAGGUUGACACUGUGUUGCUAACAAGAUUUUAAUUAGUAGAUCACAUACACUAAAAUAACAUUGACUCGUCUCAAGUCUAUAAUAAAAUGCGCGCUGGUGUAGGUAUAUAUAUGCCAGGAUUAUAUAUAUACCCAAUAGCAUUAAAACACCUUAGAAUGAUUUUGCCUGGUGUGUUUUUUCCGUUGCAUGUUUAUUGUUUCUGUCCGUUUGCUAGUUUAGAUUUUUCUGCAUACUGCACGCAUACCCGGUUCACCCACGAGUACAUUCAGGCAGUACUCGGGGAAAUGCAAAGUCACAUAUCCCUAUAUAUCUGUGCAUACGCCGUGUGCCGGAUUUCCAACUCUAGAAACCCCGCAGAGGCAUUUCCGCUUGGAAAUUCCUCGUCUCUAAUUCUUUUUCCUGAUUUCAUUUCCGGAGAAACACUGCCAAUUUUAUUUCACUCGAUCCAGUACAUCUACCCCGAUACAGGUUUCACCCUUGAUUCUACCUCGACACCUACGUUUCGUGGAGGAAUCCGCGAAUUUUUUUUCUCGGUGCCCCCAACUCGUUUGAAUUUCACCAAAGGGUUAAAAAUUAACACCGAGGUUUUUCUCCGGAGUUGUUGUUCUUCCGUUUGUGCUGUAACCCUAGGAAUCUCGAGGACGAGAUUUCUUUUUAAGGGGGGGAAGAGUUGUAACAGCCCCAAAAUUGGGUUAUCAAUUUUUGUGCUGUUAUUCCUUCCUGGCACUCAUUUUCAAAAUUUUCUCCUGAGUUUGCUGGAUGACCCUGAGAAAUUUUUUUCAUUUCCACCCUUUCAAAAUCCUGCUCAUGUCUUUUUCAGUGGGAAAGACCUCAUUUGCAUCAGCUCAAUUCCUCUUAAACCCUAAUUCCAAAUUUUUGGAAUUUGGAUAUGCCCUUGUGAUUACAAAGGAGCCACCAUUUUCCUUGUUCUGUUGAUCCUCCCAAUUGAUCCCAGAGAUCAUCCUAUCUUUCUUAACCUUGGAUAUGCAAAAAUAUUGCUAAGUCCAAUGCAAUAUUUUUGAAUUAUGAUUUAUUCCUUUUCUUGCCUUUCUAAGGAAUAAAAUCCAAAGGCAUAUCUAGCCAUAUCCUAAAUUCAUGAAAAUUGGUGGAGUUGAUGCUUAUGCCUAAUCCAAGCUCUGGCAAGUAUAUUGGCCAUAAUUAAAUAAGGAAAAUUGCCUUUUCCUAUUUAAUGCCAAUGUUGCAUUUCUGCCAAUUUCCAAAGGAACUACUAUUUUAAUAGCAGAAAAAAUUCCCGCAUAAAUUGUGGAGCUUGUCCUUGCUAUAUAUUCACUAGCUCCAUCCUAAUAUCAUGAUUCCAGAGUUCAAAAUUUGGCACAUGAUCCAAUGCAAGUUUCUGCCUUCUCUGAAAUUUUGCAAAGGAAGUGCUUUAUUGCUAAGUCCAAUUGAGAUCCAAUUUGGCAGGGUGUUUAACAUUGUUAAAUAACCCAUGGAUACCAAAGAUGAGCUCAAUCCAUUCACCCUAGCUCCCUGUGCAAUUUUUCAAAGUUUUUGACCAGAACACAAGUUUGUGAAGGAAGUACCUUCAUAGUGUUUCCAAAUGGGAUGAAACUUUUCCAUCCUCUCAAGUAUCUCGAAUCAUUAUCCUGCACCCAAAUUCAGUUCAUUUCAUUGAACUAUGUGAGCAUAGGAGCAAUUCUUGUUUUCUGUCCAAAUUUUCAGUUUGUGAAGCAAGUGUAUUUUAUCUUGCUCCAUUAUGGCUCAUAAUUUUUCCAAACCUUCUCCUACUCAGAUAAAAUAUCUCCACAAGAUUGUGGCUCAUUUCAUUUGACCAAUUGCCCUGAGGAUUGUUCUGAAGUUUUUGGGCAGAAAUGAUAGUUGUGAAGGAAGUACCAUUUUGGUGAGUCCAUUUGGUAUGAACUUUUUACAGCAUCAUGGUAUGUUCAAAUCAUCAGGCUUUGCCAAGUUAUAGCCCAAUCCAUCACUCCUAGUGAGUGUUUCAUCAUGAUUAAGUUUCUGGGUCAGUUUUGGUGGUUGUACAGCAACUAUGGUAAAUAGUUGUCCAUUUUACCUCAAAACUCCCAGGACCGUAGUCCUUUCUACCCCAAGCCUCCCGGACAUCAAGUUUACCAUUUACCUUCUCUGGUUUAAUCUCUAGGAUGUUGCCAAGUUUGCAACAGCAAACUUGUGGAGCUUGUUUCACUCAUCUCCAUUUGUCUCUGCCCGAUCUUUCACCAUGGUAACACUCCACGCUGGAAGGACUACGUGGUAGACAUGAAUUUACAUCAGUUAAAACCCCAGAGCGUGCCAUGCCAGUGGUGACCACGCGUGUAACCAGCCAAAAUGAUGGUCUAGCCACUGUGGUCGUCGGCAUCGCUGCCCCGACUGCCUCUGGCCACGCCAUUAAUGCCCAACAGCUCCCCCUCGACGUCGUCUUCCCUCUGGACCGCUGGCCCCUUCAUUUUCUUCUCCGGAGAGCCAUGCCAAUGAUGGGAAUAGUGCACUCAUGUGCAUCGUCGCCUUCCUCCCCGAUGUCCUCUUCCUCCGUUCGUCCGCAAGCUUUGGUCGAUUCCGUGAGCCUCUGGCGCUCGUCCUCACCCUCCUCGUCGCCUUCCUGCCGCUUCCCGUGAGUAUUGGCCGCGUCUGCCGACACUGCGCCCCUCGCCGGCGCACGGACACGUCGCCUGCCGCGUGCCACCUGCUCGAGCCGUCCCGCGGCUAUUUAAGCACGCCCCGAGCAUCGUCGCAGUCCACAAGCCCCUCCCCAAGCUCAUAGCCUCUCUCUGACCCUAUCACCACCGUGGUCGCCACCUCGGGUCUCCCCCGAUUCCGGCGAUGCGGUGUUUCCCUCUCUGUUCUCUCACCACCACUGCAUCCCCCAUGCUCCAGUGAGCCUCCCCAUAGCCUCGGCCUUCCAUUUCCCUCACCGGAGCCCCGUGUCCACCCGAGCCUGAACCCCCUCUCCGCCGCAGGCCCUGCUGCUCCUUCUCCCGCGCUCCUCGCCAGCAACGGAGACCACCCCGAGAUGCGCCUCUCCGUCCUGCGCAUUUUGAUAGGUCGCACGGCCCGAGAGCUGGCCGGAGUUGCCGUCGAGCGCUGUCGGGGCGAACGCCUCCCUCGGCCACGCUCCCUCCCGCGCGGGAGGAAGAAGAAGGCGUUGACCUGGCCAGGCGGGCCCCGCACCUUUCCCUGACCCCACCUGGCAGCGACUCUGGCGCCCGGCCCCGCCUCUGCCGUGUUGACCGGUCCUGCCAGCGUGGAUAAGUUUCGGCGCCCCCGCCAAAAAGCCGUUUCGUCCACGCGAAAGCGUAUUGCUGGAUAGUGCGCUUUCAAUCACCGCAAGCGUAUUCUUCCCCUUCUUCGGGGCGGAAUGCGUUUUCCUUUCUGGAAAGCGUAUUUCUGAGAAAGACGCGAUCUGUUUUUCUGCCAGGGCCCAGUUUGUAAUGAUUUUCUUUACAGAUAGGCCCCUAGUAGUUAAACAGUCAUAUCUUUUUACCCGUAGCUCCGAAUCAGGUGAUUCCAAAGCCCACGGCUUCGUUUCGUCGAGCCCUUUCCAUUGAUAUCAUUUUAGUAAUAUUUUCACCAGUGAAAAUGACCAUUUUGCCCUUGCCCAUAAACAGCCCCCUCCGAGAGAGAACUGUUUCCGGCAAAUCUUGUUGCGAUCGUUUCACACUUCUUCCCGGAGUAUUUGUCGACCCCCAGGCAAGCCAUCCUCUUAUCAUGAGCCUUGAACUUGCAUGUUGACUUUGCUUGCACCUUGUGUGUGUGUGUAGUUGCAGUUGUUUUCUAUCGUUUUCAUCGGCAGUUAUUUCUUCAUACCUAUCUUGCAUGCUUGUGUUUCAUGAUACCUUUGCCAUGUUAAUUAGAAUGUUAUUAUUAAUAAUGCCAUGCCACUACUCUACUUUAUUUGCAUGUCAUCGUUAUAAACUUUUAUGAGGAUUGUAAUGCACCGUUGAUAUACUAUUGUCGUGUCCUUUAUGUUAUAGUUGUGCACUUGAGGAGUUCAAUAUUUUGUUCGUGCAUUUGUAUGCGGCAUGUUGCACUCAUGUUAAAUAUGUUCAUGAUGAUGGAGAAGGAAAUAAAAUGACUUAAUAAUAACAAACCUCCUCCGUCAUCGAUGGGAUCGAGUCAUAGUGCCGCCAAACCGAACUUUUUCAGUGCAGCCACAUUUCCCUUCUGGGAGGCCUUAAUGCGAGCUAUUGUCGUGACCUCUCGCCGGUGCCUCCCACUAGGGAAGGUUAUGGGCGUGCUUACCCUGAUCAGGUAAGCGGACAUAACCUUGUGUGCUCUUUUUUGAGAUUUUUGGUACUAGUCCCCGAGUGGGAGUGUCCCCGAGUGGGAGUUGACCACGACGGUGGUCGGCGUGUCUUUGGUAGACACGGGGCCACCCAGGACCAGUCCGUUGGGGAUUGGGUCGGAGUGGCCGGGAGAGCGUCAUGGCAGUAGGUUGGUUUCGUCGGAAUGCCGUUGGUCCACCCAAAUGGGAUGACGAGGCCAUGGGUUCCGUGGUGUGGGUACAGUGUGCUACCUCUGCAGAGUGUAUGAAGUCUAUCGAUAGCAACACAGUUCGUAGUAGGUCCCACUAUCAGGUCUUGGUCGAAAUGGAGGAUAAACCUGAAAUAAUUAAAUUGGUAAAUAAAUAUGUGAUAACAAAAAUAUGGUGACUUGAACUAUGAGAUAGUCGUGAGGAGUCACGACGAUAUUUUGAUGACGAGAUAAGUGGUUGUGAUCGCCGUAAGGAUCACGGGCCAAAUAUUAGUCAUGGUUGUGAUUGCCACGGUUGGAGACCAAGUGUUGGUCGUGGUUGUGAUCGCCGUAAGGAUCACGAGUUGUUCUUGAGAAAGACCACUUUGGUGGUGUGUUUGUGAUCCAGAGAUGAUCAUAGUUGAUAAGAGAGUCCGAGGGACUCGGUGCACAAGUUUGGUUGCAUUGCUGGAAUAAUAUAUCAUUAUUUGCAUUUAAAGAACCAUGAUAGAACAGAAGAUGAUUGCAUAAUGUUAACAUGCUAUGUCUGCAUUGGAUUUUAUUGGUAGUUUAUUUUCAGCAUAGUUUCUUGAUGCCAUACUAUGCUUUGAUUGACAUGUUAAGUUAUGCCAUGAUUGAGAUAAAAUUCCAUGUUUUGCUAUUACAAUGUUGUAAUCAUGUUCUGAUAUGCCAUGUCAUUGCCAUGUUAGUAGAUGUUAUGAUUUUGUUCAUGCUUAGUUGAUUUUUAUCAUGCCAUGUUUAGUAAUUGAUAUGAGAUAGGGUGUUGCAUGCGCUCGGUUCUUGCUUUGUCCGCAGUUUGUUUGGAUGCUAUGUAUUUGGUUGUCUUGCAAGUACAUUCAAUGUACUGACCUGGCGUGUCAUGCCAGUUUUGUAGGUCGUACCCGUAUUGCUCGCUUGAUCCGUCGUGCUAGGCCAUAAUCUUGCCAGUCCUGUGAGUUGUGGAGCCCAGCCAGAGGUGUUGAGCCGCCAAACCAAGACUUCCGCUACCUUUUUAAUAGACUUCCACUGCCAUUCAAAUAGCCGUAGGGCUAUGCCAGAUGGUUGUAU
rnacentral:lncRNA from 1 species